rnacentral:rRNA from 1 species
GACGAACGCUGGCGGCGUGCUUAACACAUGCAAGUCGAACGGUGAAGCGCCUUCCUUUUUGGUGGGUGUGGAUGAGUGGCGAACGGGUGAGUAACACGUGAGUAACCUGCCCCCUUCUUCUGGAUAACCGCAUGAAAGUGUGGCUAAUACGGGAUAUUCUGGGUCUGUCGCAUGAUGGGUCUGGGAAAGAUAUUGUUUCGGUGGGGGAUGGGCUCGCGGCCUAUCGGCUUGUUGGUGGGGUGAUGGCCUACCAAGGCGGUGGCGGGUAGCCGGCCUGAGAGGGUGGACGGUCACACUGGGAAUGAGACACGGCCAAGACUCCUACGGGAGGCAGCCGUGGGGAAUAUUGCACGAUGGGCGCAAGACUGAUGCAGCGACGCCGCGUGAGGGAUGGAGGCCUUCGGGUUGUGAACCUCUUUCGCCAGUGAAGCAGGCCUGCCUCGUUUGUGGGUGGGUUGACGGUAGCUGGAUAAGAAGCGCCGGCUAACUACGUG